AGCAGCCGCGGUAAUUCCAGCUCCAAUAGCGUAUAUUAAAGUUGUUGCAGUUAAAAAGCUCGUAGUUGAAUUUCGGGAUCAGUACGCUGGUCAUGCCUUUGGUAUGCACUGGUGUCACUGGUUUCUCCCUUCUGAAGAUCCGUGAUGUCAUUAAUUUGGUGUCGCGGGGAAUCAGGACUGUUACUUUGAAAAAUUAGAGUGUUUAAAGCAGGCUCACGCUUGAAUACAUUAGCAUGGAAUAAUGAAAUAGGACGUUUGACCCUAUUUUGUUGGUUUCUAGGAUCGACGUAAUGAUUAAUAGGGAUAGUUGGGGGCAUUAGUAUUCAAUUGUCAGAGGUGAAAUUCUUGGAUUUAUUGAAGACUAACUACUGCGAAAGCAUUUGCCAAGGAUGUUUUCAUUAAUCAAGAACGAAAGUUAGGGGAUCGAAGACGAUCAGAUACCGUCGUAGU
rnacentral:rRNA from 1 species